UACGUAGGGUGCGAGCGUUAAUCGGAAUUACUGGGCGUAAAGCGUGCGCAGGCGGUGAUGUAAGACCGAUGUGAAAUCCCCGGGCUCAACCUGGGAAUGGCAUUUGGGACUGCAAGGCUGGAGUGCGGCAGAGGAGACUGGAAUUCCUGGUGUAGCAGUGAAAUGCGUAGAUAUCAGGAGGAAUACCGAUGGCGAAGGCAGGUCUCUGGGCUGACACUGACGCUCAUGCACGAAAGCGUGGGGAGCAAACAGG
rnacentral:rRNA from 1 species